CAACGCUCACCUUGGCAAGGAGAUCAGAGGAGAACCAGUGUGUGUGUGUGUGUGUGUGUGUGACAUACCACUGAGAGGCCAACAUGGUAAAGACGUCCGCCUGAGGGUUGUGGAAAAUGCGGAGCAGCUCAGGGUCGGAGGAGAGAUUUCACAGACCGGAGGAAAACAACUAGUCAGAGCUGAUCUGGGGUCUGCUGUCAUGCUGACGUCAAUGAGAGCUGGCUAUCAAUCAUUUACGAACUCUGAUCAAACGUGAGCGGCCAGUGGGGCGCGCUCAGAUGCACUAAAAGCAUGCCCAGCUGGCCCGGCGAUGUAAACAAAGCAAGGAGAAUUUCUGAUGACAACACACACAGAGGGAGAGCGACUUCCUUCUCUGCUCAGAGAGAAAAGUCCAUCCUUCCUGAGGAAUGAACAUUGCUCGAGGAUGAACCGUCACCACUUCCUCCUCCUUUCCUGUGGGGACCAAACACAGACCCCUGAGGAACACCUCAGCAAAUCAUCCCUCACUGCAAAGUACAUGCUACUUUAAAACUAUGUUAUAAUAGCCUCCAGUAACCUGUUUGGAAGUUUAGAUUCUAAAUAUUUUGUGUGGUAAAAGAAAACUAAAGCCUGUUUUCCAGGUUGUCCAAUAUGCAUUCAUACACGCAAUUUGAAUAUUUAAUAUAAGUCUUUUUAAGUCUAAUUCAGGAAAAACUA